rnacentral:rRNA from 1 species
GACGAACCGUGCGAACGUUGUUCGGAAUCACUGGGCUUAAAGGGCGCGUAGGCGGGCUGUCAAGUCUGGGGUGAAAUGCCACGGCUCAACCGUGGAACUGCCUUAGAUACUGACGGCCUCGAGGAAGGUAGGGGCAUGCGGAACUGUAGGUGGAGCGGUGAAAUGCGUUGAUAUCUACAGGAACUCCGGUGGCGAAAGCGGCGUGCUGGACCUUUUCUGACGCUGAGGCGCGAAAGCUAGGGGAGCAAACGGG